GCCUUCGUGGUGUAGCGGUAGCACACUCGGCGCAUAUUCGAGAGGUCCAGGGUUCGAAUCCCGGUGAGGACA
rnacentral:tRNA from 1 species